rnacentral:lncRNA from 1 species
AACAAACAUUAUUUUAAUUAUGUUACAAUAUCGCAUGAGAUUGUCUAUUUUCGGAGACGGAUUUUUUCACGAACUUUAAACUGUUCAAGAUAAAAAUGCAUCCUAUACACAUGUAUAAAUUACUCUAAAUUCACACAGAUCUUCUCUUCUACACAUGUUGUCUAUUAGUCACACAUUCGCGAGAUAAGCCUGCAUCGGUUUACACAGUCUUCCUGUAAUUUGAUAUUUAUUGGGAUAAGAUAGAGCAAGUUUAUAAAUACUUUACACAAAGGGACGGAUCCGCAACGUGGAAAUGUUGGCGGAGUUGAAGAAUCAUGCAAAAAUGACGAAACUUGAAAGUUUCAAUUACUGCAUUACUUUUUUGACUUAUUGUAUUAGACUUACGUCGCCGUAAUAUGAAAUAAAGAUGAUAAAAUACA